AAAAUUUUAAAAAAUAAAAAAUCAAACUCACGAUCUCUUUUAGCUUUUUCCGAUGAAGCUUGUUCUAAUCUGAAAUUUUCAUUUAUGGUCAAAUUGGAUGAGAUUUUGUGGUCUCGGUUUAUAACUGCAGCGGAGGUGGUGGAGGGAAGAACAUAGAGCAUUCUAGAUCGAUCGAUCGUGAUGAUGAUGAAGACAAAGGUGACGAUUUUGAGCCACAGUUCAUCGAAUCAAGUGAAGGAUGGGAAAGGAUGGAGUGAGUACCGGAUCUGGAUUUGAAUCAAUGGAGAUGAGAUGCAAUAGAAAAUAUGAAGCGUUGUUGGAUUGUUUUAAUAACUUAGUGAGAGAAUACCACGUCGAGUAGAGAAAUAAGUAAUUGAGUUUAUAGGUCAUAAUUUCUCACAUUCUUUAAUUCAAGUAUGUUCCACUGAAACGGAAGCAAGUCUUAGUUCUAGGAACUAUGAAUAAAACCUAUGUAAACCUGAUUAUUCUUUCUUUCCUCUAAAAACUUUUUUUGUGUCUGUUUAAUUAGCUA